rnacentral:misc_RNA from 1 species
AACCGCCGUAUACGGAACCGUAUGUACGGUGGUGUGAGAGGUCGGUAGAUAAAAUAAUUAUCUACCUCCUACUCGAU